rnacentral:rRNA from 1 species
AGAGUUUGAUCCUGGCUCAGGACGAACGCUGGCGGUGCGCCUUAUGCAUGCAAGUUGAGCGAAGCUUUUUGGUAGUUUACUACUAGAAAUGACUGAGCGGCGAACGGGUGAGUAACGCGUGAGCAAUCUACCUUAGUUACUGGGAUAGCCCGAGGAAACUCGGAUUAAUACCAGAUAUUCUUAUUUUUUCACAUGAAGUUUUAAGGAAAGGUCAGCCGAACUAAGAUGAGCUCGCGUUCUAUCAGCUAGUUGGUGGGGUAAAAGCCUACCAAGGCUACGACGGAUAGCUGGUCUGAGAGGACGAUCAGCCACACUGGGACUGAGACACGGCCCAGACUCCUACGGGAGGCUGCAGCAGGGAAUAUUGUGCAAUGAGCGAAAGCUUGACACAGCGACACCGCGUGUGGGAUGACGGUUCUAGGAUUGUAAACCACUUUCAGGAGGGAAGAAAAUGACGGUACCUCCACAAGAAGACCCGGCCAACUAUGUGCCAGCGGCCGCGGUAAU